GAUAGAUUCAUGUCCACCGGCAAUACAGAAAGUCUGCAUCUUUGGGCGUAUAAUACCCGACCAGUAGGAGCACACUGGUUGCUGCUUGCUAUCAACCCUAUAAGGGAAGUCGUGUAUUAUCUGAAUUCGAUAAAUGGUGAAUGGACCAAUUAUCCGGCCAUGAAGGACAUCGUUGAUUUAUCAAUACAAGUGUUCCGAAGUCAACGGGACGCACAGGUAUCCCGAACUAAAUCUAACAACAUUACUUGGAUCCAAGUGCAG